GUUAAAAAUCUCGUAGUUGGAUCUUGGAUCGUAAAGGUCGGUCCGCCUACUUGGUGUGCACCUGCCCUUCCGCCCUUUUGUCGGUGGCGUGCUCCUGGCCUUAAUUGGUUGGGUCGUAGUUCCAACGUUGUUACUUUGAAAAAAAUAUAGUGCUCAAAGCAAGCUUAUGCUCUGAAUACAUUAGCAUGGAAUAAAGCGAUAGGAGUUUGGUCCUAUUUUGUUAUACUUCGAGACCAGAGUAAUGAUUAAUAGGGACUGUCAGGGGCAUUCGUAUUUCAUUGUCAGAGGUUAAAUUCUUGGAUUUAUGAAAGAUGAACCACUGCGAAAUCAUUUUCCAAGGAUGUUUUCAUUAAUCAAGAACGAAAGUUGGGGGCUCGAAGACGAUCAUAUACCAUCCUAGUCUCAACCAUAAACGAUGCCAACUAGGGAUCAACGAAUGUUGUUCUAAGGACUCCGCCAACACCUUAUGAGAAAUCAGAGUGUUUGGGUUCCGGGGGGAGUAUGGUUGCAAGGAUGAAACUUAAAGGAUUUGACGAAAGGGCACCGAAAGGAGUAGAUCCUGCAGCUUAAUUUGACUCAACACGGGAAAACUUACCAGGUCCAGACAUAGUAAGGAUUGAUAGAUUGAGAGCUCUUUCUUGAUUCUGUGGGUGGUGGUACAUGGUCGUUCUUAGUUGGUGGAGCGAUUUUUCUGGUUAAUUCUGAUAAUGAACGAGACCUCAGCUUGCUAACUAGCUACGUGGAGGUUCCCCUUCACAACUAAUGUCUUAGAGGGAAUAUGGUUGUAACACCCUGUUUCCCCCAACUUGUAAAUAUAACUGGACUAUCCAAGAACUAUGGAAAACUCAUAAAUAUGAAUAUGUGAUGUAAAUGGACCUUGAGGAAGAGGUCAAUGAAUAUGAAUAACAUUCUGAAUUUAUUGUAGGACUGCUAAUGAGGGGAUGUGCAGAAAAAGAGACCAUGAUGGCGGUGGAAGGCACCUGAAAAGGUGGCGUUAACUUCCACCGAGAAUUUAAUAUUGUAUUUGGACUCCACUGGACCGGAGAACCAAAAGCGGCUCGCUGGCCCUGAAAAUUA
rfam:Picea glauca, whole genome shotgun sequence.